AGAGUUUGAUCCUGGCUCAGGACGAACGCUGGCGGCGUGCUUAACACAUGCAAGUCGAACGAGAAUCUGAUGAAGGAGUUUUCGGACAACUGAUUCAGAGGAAAGUGGCGGACGGGUGAGUAACGCGUGAGGAACCUGCCUUGAAGAGGGGGACAACAGUUGGAAACGACUGCUAAUACCGCAUGACGCAUAGGGGUCGCAUGAUCUUUAUGCCAAAGAUUUAUCGCUUCAAGAUGGCCUCGCGUCUGAUUAGCUGGUUGGCGGGGUAACGGCCCACCAAGGCGACGAUCAGUAGCCGGACUGAGAGGUUGAACGGCCACAUUGGGACUGAGAUACGGCCCAGACUCCUACGGGAGGCAGCAGUGGGGAAUAUUGGGCAAUGGGCGCAAGCCUGACCCAGCAACGCCGCGUGAAGGAAGAAGGCUUUCGGGUUGUAAACUUCUUUUAAGAGGGAAGAGCAGAAGACGGUACCUCUAGAAUAAGCCACGGCUAACUACGUGCCAGCAGCCGCGGUAAUACGUAGGUGGCAAGCGUUGUCCGGAUUUACUGGGUGUAAAGGGCGUGCAGCCGGGUCUGCAAGUCAGAUGUGAAAUCCAUGGGCUCAACCCAUGAACUGCAUUUGAAACUGUAGAUCUUGAGUGUCGGAGGGGCAAUCGGAAUUCCUAGUGUAGCGGUGAAAUGCGUAGAUAUUAGGAGGAACACCAGUGGCGAAGGCGGAUUGCUGGACGAUAACUGACGGUGAGGCGCGAAAGUGUGGGGAGCAAACAGGAUUAGAUACCCUGGUAGUCCACACUGUAAACGAUGAAUACUAGGUGUGCGGGGACUGACCCCCUGCGUGCCGCAGUUAACACAAUAAGUAUUCCACCUGGGGAGUACGAUCGCAAGGUUGAAACUCAAAGGAAUUGACGGGGGCCCGCACAAGCGGUGGAUUAUGUGGUUUAAUUCGAAGCAACGCGAAGAACCUUACCAGGGUUUGACAUCCUGCUAACGAAGUAGAGAUACAUUAGGUGCCCUUCGGGGAAAGCAGAGACAGGUGGUGCAUGGUUGUCGUCAGCUCGUGUCGUGAGAUGUUGGGUUAAG
rnacentral:rRNA from 1 species